GAUGAACGCUAGCGGGAGGCCUAACACAUGCAGGCCGAGCGGUAUUUGUUCUUCGGAACAGAGAGAGCGGCGCACGGGUGCGGAACACGUGUGCAACCUGCCUUUAUCUGGGGGAUAGCCUUUCGAAAGGAAGAUUAAUACCCCAUAAUAUAUUGAGUGGCAUCAUUUGAUAUUGAAAACUCCGGUGGAUAGAGAUGGGCACGCGCAAGAUUAGAUAGUUGGUGAGGUAACGGCUCACCAAGUCAAUGAUCUUUAGGGGGCCUGAGAGGGUGAUCCCCCACACUGGUACUGAGACACGGACCAGACUCCUACGGGAGGCAGCAGUGAGGAAUAUUGGACAAUGGGUUAGCGCCUGAUCCAGCCAUCCCGCGUGAAGGACGACGGCCCUAUGGGUUGUAAACUUCUUUUGUAUAGGGAUAAACCUACUCUCGUGAGAGUAGCUGAAGGUACUAUACGAAUAAGCACCGGCUAACUCCGUG
rnacentral:rRNA from 1 species